AAAAAAAAAAAAUUGCUGGUUUGGGCGGGUUAACCCGACCAAACCGCCCAAACCGUUGGUCGGUUUAUAGAAAUUUUUUUUUAAAAUUGGGCGGGUUGCACUCAAAUUUUAGCUACCCGAACUUUAGAUUGGGUUAGAAAAUAUAUAGGAUAUAUAAACCGCCCAAACCGACCGAUGUACAGCCCUACAUCCAGUGCUCUCUCUCAUUUCUUAAAAGAUAUUUUCAAUUUUUUAUUUAUUUAUUAAUUUUUUCAUUUAGGGUAAUAGUUUUAACCCUAAAAUAGUUACUCUCUCUCUCUCUCUCUCUCUCUCUCUCUCUCUCUCCAUUUCCAAGAGCCUCCCAUUUUUAGAUUAUCUCUCUCUCUCUCUCUCUCUCUCUCUCUCUCUCUCUCUCUCUCUCUCUCUCUCUCUCUCUCUCUCUCUCUCUCUCUCUCUCUCUCUCUCUCUUUCUUCUCACAUCUAUCUUCUCUCAUCCUUUUUCUCCCUUUCAAAUUUGUGAUAAAGUAGCCCUCCAUUGAAGAUGACGACCUUCAAGGCCAAGGAGAGCUCCAUCGACGGACAACGGUCGCUUCCAAACGCCGAGCCCAGGCCAUCUCCCUCUGCUCUACCAUGGUGGACGAUGUUUGAAGGUCCUCGUGGGUCUUGCCUUUAAUGUUUUUGUGGUUCUGGGUACAUGAUCGACGUUCGUGUUUGAAGGGCUUGGGUUCGACAAGCCUGGUGUUUGAUGUUCGUGGUUGACAGUGUGGGACUUUGAGUUCAAACAUGGACUUGGGAUUAUUUCAUUCUAAAGCAAUGUUUGACAGUGUGUGGUUGACAGUGUACACUUUAGAUCUGAGUUUUUUUUUAUUGUUUAGGUUUAUUUUGUUCAAAGUGUACACUGUGUAAUAUUUUGAAAGUGAUUUGGGAUUAUUUCAUUCUAAAUGAACACCGAAUAAAUAAUUUGAUCUGGGUUUCUUUCAUAUUUUUGUAUUUUUUUAAUAAAAACAGAUGUGAGUUUGUAUUAAGUUUCAUAUCAGUUGUAAUUUGAGUGUAAAAUUGUGUGUAAAGACUGUAUUAUUUUAGUUAAUAUUCUUAAUAAAAAUAAAUAUUUUCAGCAAUAAAAAUAUUUUGUAUUUUGUUUUUUA